UGAGGAAUAUUGGUCAAUGUGCGAGAGCCUGAACCAGCCAAGUAGCGUGCAGGAUGACGGCCCUAUGGGUUGUAAACUGCUUUUAUGUGGGGAUAAAGUGCGUGACGUGUCAUGCAUUGCAGGUACCACAUGAAUAAGGACCGGCUAAUUCCGUGCCAGCAGCCGCGGUAAUACGGAAGGUCCGGGCGUUAUCCGGAUUUAUUGGGUUUAAAGGGAGCGUAGGCUGUCUAUUAAGCGUGUUGUGAAAUUUACCGGCUCAACCGGUGGCUUGCAGCGCGAACUGGUCGACUUGAGUAUGCAGGAAGUAGGCGGAAUUCAUGGUGUAGCGGUGAAAUGCUUAGAUAUCAUGACGAACUCCGAUUGCGCAGGCAGCUUACUGUAGCAUAACUGACGCUGAUGCUCGAAAGUGCGGGUAUCAAACAGG
rnacentral:rRNA from 1 species